GACGAACGCUGGCGGCGUGCUUAACACAUGCAAGUCGAACGGAAAGGCCCUGCUUUUGUGGAGUGCUCGAGUGGCGAACGGGUGAGUAACACGUGAGUAACCUGCCCUUGACUUUGGGAUAACUUCAGGAAACUGGGGCUAAUACCGGAUAGGAGCUCCUGCUGCAUGGUGGGGGUUGGAAAGUUUCGGCGGUUGGGGAUGGACUCGCGGCUUAUCAGCUUGUUGGUGGGGUAGUGGCUUACCAAGGCUUUGACGGGUAGCCGGCCUGAGAGGGGGACCGGCCACAUUGGGACUGAGAUACGGCCCAGACUCCUACGGGAGGCAGCAGUGGGGAAUAUUGCACAAUGGGCGGAAGCCUGAUGCAGCAACGCCGCGUGCGGGAUGACGGCCUUCGGGUUGUAAACCGCUUUCGCCUGUGACGAAGCGUGAGUGACGGUAAUGGGUAAAGAAGCACCGGCUAACUACGUG
rnacentral:rRNA from 1 species